AGGGGGCGACUUCGAUCCAGAGCAAGGCGACAAAGAGAGGGUGGUGAUUGUCGGCUGCCGGGGUAUGUUGUCGUCGUCGAUUGGUUCCGCCUGUUCGCGCGGCGGAGCGAUUCGACGGAGAGGCGCUGCAGCUAGAUAGCCGGUGCCGUAUCGUGAGCACGUAUGCUCUUGUCUCUGUUGUGCUCUGUCCUUCUCUGAUCUGUACAAUUUCUUUGUCUUUUAAACUUCUAUCUUUUGAACAACAUGGAUUCAUACAGUGGCACAACGAUCCAACAUCUCCAUUCCUGCGUGUAUUGCUGGGAGAUCUUUGAGAUAGGGUAUGGAAGCUAGAGGAUGAUGAUGCAACAUUAUGUACAGAUGGAGAUGCAGUUCCUCGUGCAUCGCGUGUGGAAAUGCAGAAGAAACGGAACAAACUGCAGGAGAUGGUGGAGCUGGUGCAUCAGGUAGAGACAAUUUAGUUAGUAAAGGGUUGAUGCUGGUGUGUGGCAUUCUGAUAUUUGUAUCAUGUUUAGUUCUAGGGAUGAUCUUAUCCUAGUUCAUUUGCUACAAAUGGAUGUGAGGCAAUGUAGUAUAUUUUGUCAGGAAAUGUAUUGAAUGGAAUUCAGUUUGCAAAAUUUGCCAGGCAAUGUAUUGAAUUCAGUUUGCAAAAAUU
rnacentral:lncRNA from 1 species